rnacentral:rRNA from 1 species
UACAGAGGGUGCAAGCGUUGUUCGGAAUUAUUGGGCGUGAAGCGCGUGUAGGCGGCUUUGCAAGUCGGGUGUGAAAGCCCUCGGCUCAACCGAGGAAGUGCGCCCGAAACUGCAGAGCUUGAGUACCGGAGAGGAUGGCGGAAUUCCCCAAGUAGAGGUGAAAUUCGUAGAUAUGGGGAGGAACACCGGUGGCGAAGGCGGCCAUCUGGACGGAUACUGACGCUGAGACGCGAAAGCGUGGGGAGCAAACAGG